GGAAAAAGGUCCAACAUAGGCAACAAACUCCAGUUGUCCGUCUGUCACUAAGUAGUUAGACAAAAGCAUUAUCUUAUCUAAACUAAAGAUUUGCAUGUUUUGUCAUUUGUACGACUUUUCCAUCUGUCAACGUGAGAAGCUAUACCGUAAGUUAAAUUAUGAAUAUGUUCUACUGUAGUAUGCAGUGCAAAUGUUACAACAUUGGACAGUUAAAAAAAUGUAUGUCACUGAAGUAGAUUAAUAGAUAUUAUUAACCCAUCUAAAGAAUUUUUAUUUUUCCUAUGUCAUUCAAAGUUUUAAGGUUUCUUUGUGGAUAUGAAUUUUG
rnacentral:misc_RNA from 1 species